rnacentral:rRNA from 1 species
AUUGAACGCUGGCGGCAGGCCUAACACAUGCAAGUCGAACGAGUGGCGGACGGGUGAGUAAUGUCUGGGAAACUGCCCGAUGGAGGGGGAUAACUACUGGAAACGGUAGCUACUACCGCAUACCAUCAGAUGUGCCCAGAUGGGAUUAGCGAGUAGGUGGGGUAACGGCUCACCUAGGCGACGAUCCCUAGCUGGUCUGAGAGGAUGACCAGCCACACUGGAACUGAGACACGGUCCAGAGUCCGACGGGAGGCAGCAGUGGGGAAUAUUGCACAAUGGGCGCAAGCCUUAUGCAGCCAUGCCGCGUGUGUGAAGAAGGCCUUCGGGUUGUAAAGCACUGUCAGCGGGGAGGCGUUACCCGCAGAAGAAGCACCGGCUAACUCCGUGCCAGCAGCCGCGGUAAUAC